UUACGGCCAUAUAACUUCCAAACACCGGUUCUUGCACGAUUACUGAAGUUAAGCAUUGCCGAGCCUGGUCAGUACUUAGAUGAGUAUCCGCUUUGGAAUAGCAAGUGAUGUAA